rnacentral:lncRNA from 1 species
UAUUGAAUAUGCCUCUAUAAGCUCUGGUCAACAACUUAUUCUGCAUUCACUCGCAAAUCACAAGGUCAUUUGCUACAAAUACAAAGCAUGAAUUGCAAUAAAUAAACAUAAUAACAAAUUGGGUGUGACAGAUCUAAUGGCGAUAGAUACAACCCUAACUAUACUCCAAGAGAAAACCAUAAUGUAUUUGUGCUUCCUCACUUGCUCAAUAACUGGCUCCUUCAAUGGACAGUGUGUCUCAUUACAAUUCCAAAUCUAAUUCUCCAUCUAGAACUAAGUGGAAGUUCUGUCUAAGGGUAGGCAAAACUCUCACAAAGGAGUCUGCUAAAGAAUUGUCCCUUUUCAUGCUUGACUCGGUGAUCUUACAUCAACAAGGCUAAGGUAAUUUAAUCCACUAUCAGCUGUUCUUGGUGCAGUUUGCGUCUGUACCAUGCUGGGUGCAAUGACGAUACCCAACAGAUUGACGAAAUUCUCGAAUCUCUUUAGAACCACUGUUACUUGCCUGCAACAACCGUUCAUCCUCCUCAUAAAUCAAAUACGGUGCCUUGCCUAAUUCUCUCGACGACAACUUCACGGCCCCCUUCAGAACAUGAUGCUCCCAGCCUUGAACAUCUAUUUUGACGAGAAGAACCGGUUCUGACUCUGGUAUCACUUUGUCUAGUGGGAUGGACCUUACUUGAAGUUCUAUUUCUUCAUUGGACUUGAAUGCCAACUUGGCACCGACUGAUGAGACAGCACUAUUAUCGAGCCGGCCAACCAACUGAAAACAUCAGUCAGCGUGGACAUGAUCAACACAACAAAAAGCAUAGUUAGAUACCAACAAUAAAAGAAUAAUUGUGCUCUCAAACUUCUUAUAAGAAUGACUGCAUCAAUAUCGGGAAUUCAAAACAUGAUCAGAUCAUAUGACAUAUGUGCUCAUGGAUGAUAUAUACAAAAUCCCUCCAAGUAUAAUAUAAAAUCCACAACAUAUGUAGGCCAAAAUUGCUGCAAUUGCAAUGAGAUUUAGGUGAUCCAAACGAGCUUUGGAAAAUCUGAACGAGAAGUAUAUUAGAAACUCCAUAUACCUAACAAACUUUGUCAAUCUGAACCAAAGGCAGCAACUCAAAAGUAAUAUAUUCUUCCCAAAUGAGCCAAAAGUAGCAACUCAAGCAAUAUAUUCUUCCCAAAUGAACCAAAAGCAGCAACAAUACCAAAAAUUCUAGCGAGAUAGAGACAUUCUACGCGAGACCAUCCACAAACUCAUGUCAGCAAUUUGCCCAGCCAUGCAGUUCAACAACCCACAAACCCAUACUGCGACAAACCCAUGUCAACGAAAUUUAAAAUAAAAUUUAAGUGAAAUCAAGACAACAUAAAUAUAAAACACCGCAAUUUCAAGAAGACAAUCAAGGCGUUCAGUGAGCAUCAAGCAAGCAAGUGAAUCUAAGCAAGCGUCGAAUGUAGGCGUCGGGCGAGCAUCGAACGAAGAUUUUGGGUGAGUCGAGCGUCGGACGGAGGCGUCGGACUGACGCACACAUCGGAUGGAGACAUCAAGCGAGCGUCAGUCAAAAGGAUUGGAUGGAGGCUUCGAACAGAGGUGUUGGGCGAGCGUUGGCUAGAGGGGUUGGACGGAGGCGUCGAGCAAAGGCGUUGGGCGAGCGAAGGCCAAAGGGUUUCGAUAGAGGUGUUGAACGGAGGCAUCCACCAAGAAUCAAUGUCAAGCACCAUGAAUCAAGGGAAGAUCCUCUCAAUUUAGGGUUCCCUGCUUGAUUUUGGG